UGGAAGUAAAAGUCGUAACAAGGUUUCCGUUGGUGAACCAGCGGAAGGAUCAUUACAGCGAAGCGGCGCGAGUCCGCCUUUCGAACCACCGCGUACCGAACCCCCCACGUUGCCUCGGCGGGCGCCGGGCGCCCCGCGCCCGCCGCGCCGAACGGCCCCCCAGCAAGACCCCUUCCGUCGAGAUGGCGUCGUCUGAACCCUCCGGGGAAAACGUUUCUGAAACGAAAAACACAACUUUCAACAAUGGAUCUCUUGGCUCCGGCAUCGAUGAAGAACGCAGCGAAACGCGAUAGCUAGUGUGAAUUGCAGAUUUCAGUGAAUCAUCGAGUCUUUGAACGCACAUUGCGCCUCUUGGUAUUCCUCGAGGCAUGCCUGUUCGAGCGUCGUUACGCCCCUCAAGCGCGAGCUUGGUGUUGGGGACCGCCCCUGAGACACGGCGGCGGCCCCGGAAUGCAUCGGCGGUGCUGGUCCCAUCCCGGAGCGCAGCAGACAUG
rnacentral:misc_RNA from 1 species